CCCUUGUCCGCACUAACGCCCCUGGCGGGAGACGAUGUCCCUAUACCAAACUUGGCCCGAAGUUUCGUGACCAUAAAAAAGUAUUGAGGGACUAUGGUAUCAGUCAUAACAGGUGAAAGAGCGUC
rnacentral:lncRNA from 1 species